rnacentral:ncRNA from 2 species
ACUAUUAAACUAUAUAGUACCUGUAUAACCUCAAGAAUAUGGCUUGAGGGUCUCUACCAGGAACCAUAAAAUCCUGAUUACAGAAAAUGAAUUUAUUCGU